rnacentral:rRNA from 1 species
GACGAACGCUGGCGGCGUGCUUAACACAUGCAAGUCGAACGGAAAGGCCCUGCUUUUGUGGGGUACUCGAGUGGCGAACGGGUGAGUAACACGUGAGUAACCUGCCCUUGACUUUGGGAUAACUUCAGGAAACUGGGGCUAAUACCGGAUAGGAGCUCCUGUUGCAUGGUGGGGGUUGGAAAGUUUCGGCGGUUGGGGAUGGACUCGCGGCUUAUCAGCUUGUUGGUGGGGUAGUGGCUUACCAAGGCUUUGACGGGUAGCCGGCCUGAGAGGGUGACCGGCCACAUUGGGACUGAGAUACGGCCCAGACUCCUACGGGAGGCAGCAGUGGGGAAUAUUGCACAAUGGGCGGAAGCCUGAUGCAGCAACGCCGCGUGCGGGAUGACGGCCUUCGGGUUGUAAACCGCUUUCGCCUGUGACGAAGCGUGAGUGACGGUAAUGGGUAAAGAAGCACCGGCUAACUACGUG